UGGUGGUGGUGGCGAUGGUGGUGGUGGUGGAGGUGGCGAGGAAUGUUUUUGCUCUUUAAGAAAAUUAUGCAAGUUCUUUAUCUUUUACGGCGACAAAACCAAAACUGUUUUAUGCAAAUGAGAGAGAGAGAGAGAGAGAGAGAGAGAGAGAGAGAGAGAGAGAGAGAGAGAGAGAGAGAGAGAGUCUAAAGAAAAGUUAUUUUAAAUCUUUUCCGCAGAAUCUUGCGUGAACUAACCGGAAGUCUCUCUCUCUCUCUCUCUCUCUCUCUCUCUCUCUCUCUCUCUCUCUCUCUCUCUCUCUCUCUCUCUCUCUCUCUCUCUCUAGAUUUUCCAUUACUGUUUACAUUUUUUUCAUUAGUUAGAUUCUUUGAAUUCCCUUCACUUAUUAAACUUUUCUCUGUUCCUUCUUGUUCUUUCUUUCUUCAGUUUCUCUCUUACUGUUAUUUCCUCUUGUUUUUAUUCUUGUUCUCUAUAUUCGAUACUGUAACGUAACAUGGGACAAGAGGUCUGAUGAUGCCUCUUGUUCUGCCUUUGUGUUCCUUGUGUUUCUCCUGUGUUCUCUGCCCUUCUCCAUGACUUCCCACUUUCCUCACUCCUUCCUUCCCAUCAACUCCAGAUCGAGGGGAAGGAGGGGAAUAAUGUGCCUCCUCCACUCAAGCAAGACAUCCCUCCUUCCCAAAGUCCCCGCCACUUCUCCUCCUCCUCCUCCUCCUCCUCCUCCUCCUCCUCCUCCUCCUCCUCCUCCUCCUCCUCCUCCUCCUCCUCCUCCUCCUCCUUAUUGGCGCCACUCCUGAUCCCCUUUCCAACCUAUCUCUCUCUCUCUCUCUCUCUCUCUCUCUCUCUCUCUCUCUCUCUCUCUCUCUCUCUCUCUCUCUCUCUCUCUCUCUCUCUCUUAAAAGCCAAACAAACAUAUUUUUUUUAUUUUAUUUUGACCAUCGUCUCAUUUAGUAAUAAAAAAUAAAAAAUAAAAAGAAGGAAAAUAUUCUGACUCACUUCAUUACUCAUCUUUUAAUUACUGGAUACUAGAGUCCGGCAGGCUGAUGAUGGUGAUGAUGAUGUUGAUGAUGGUGAUGGUGAUGAUGAUGGUGACGGUGAUGGUGAUGAGCUCCGGGUAAAAACAGCGGCAAGACUCAUCCUCAAGUUUCUGUUUGUUUACUUUUGUUGCAAGUUAUUUAAAGUUUUUGAUUCAUUCGCCAUUUAGAAAAAGAAGGGAGGGUGGGAGAGUAGGAGGAGGAGGAGAAGGAGAAGAAGAGGAGGAGGAGGAGGAGAAGAAGAGGAGGAGGAGGAGGAGGAGGAGGAGAAGAAGAAGAGGAGGAGAAGGAGGAGGAGGUUAAUUAGGUGAACGAUUGCACUGAAGAGAGGAGGAAGAGGAGGAGAAGGAAAAUAUUUUAGUAAAAGAAGAAGCAAGGAAUUAAAAAAAAAGAGAUGAUGAGGAGGAGGAAGCGAAGAAGAACAAGAAGAGUAAGAAGGAAGACGAAAAUUUUACUUGCCUCAGUCACAGAGAAACAAAAGAAAGAAGAACGAGAAGGAGGAGAAAGAAAAGAAGAUAAGAAAAAGGAAGGAAAAUAAAAAACCUGCUUCAAACACACACACACACACACACACACACACACACACACACACACACACACACACACACACACACACACACACACAGAGAGAGAGAGAGAGAGAGAGAGAGAGAGAGAGAGAGAGAGAGAGAGAGAGAGAGAGAAUACGAAAAAUAAUAAAGAAAAUUACAAGAAAAUAAAAUAAAAAAGAGGAAUAGCAUGAUGAAUAAAAAUGAAGAAAAGAACCAAAAAGUAAGCAAUGAGACAAGUUAGGUUAGGUUAGGUUAUAGGUUAAGUUAGGUUAUAGAUGAUAGGUUAGGUUAGGUUAAGAUUAAGUUUCGAGUAGUUUAGGCUAAGGUUACGUUAAGAUAUGGUUAGGUUAGGUUAGAUUAAAGUUAAAGUUAGAUUAGGUCAAGGAUAAGACAAGACAAGGCAAGGAGAGGCGAGGCGAGGUAAGAAUAAGGAACUUGACAGCAGUAAGAAACAGGAGAACUGCCAGGCUGAGUCGAGGGAGGGUCAGUAGAAGCUCCGAGUGAUUCAAACCCUCAACAGGAGAAGCUUGGGAUGAAUCGUGACGUCUCGCUCAGACAGACGCGUGUUUUGAGUGCCUCGCCUCUGUGAAUGGGAUCUACUGACCAGCGAACAAUGCAAGCCAAUUUCUUCGUCAGGGAUGAAUUACGCGGCCCAACGUUGAAGCGCCACCGCGGAAAGUGAAACCAAAGGGCGGAGCGUUGAAAGAGGCGGUUGCAUAGACAGGGGAGGUAGUGGUGGUGGUGGUGGUGGUGGUGGUAAAGUAGGUAAAGACUGUAGCUUCCUUUAAUCCGAUCUGUUUGUGUUUCUGUUCUUUGUUUCUUUCUUCUCCUCUUAUGUUUCUGAAAUCUCUCUCUCUCUCUCUCUCUCUCUCUCUCUCUCUCUCUCUCUCUCUCUCUCUCUCUCUCUCUCUCUCUCUCUCUCUCUUUAUAUUUCCUGUUUAUUCUACAUUUUAUGUUAUGUUUAUUUUUUUCUUAGCUUUUCUUCGUAUCAUCAACAUUUUCCUUCCUGUUCUACUUUUUUUUUCUCUCAUUUUAUUAGUAUUCUCUAUUUCUUGUUCUUGUUAACCUCCUCUUCCUCUUCCUCUUCCUCCUCCUCCUUCUCCUCCUUCUCUUCUUCUCCUUCUCCUCCUCCUCCUCCCCUAUCAUCUUCUUCUUCAGUUACCACUACUUGCUUUUGGAUCAACAGAGCAAACCUUGUCUCGUCCUCGUCUUGCAAUCCGUGAGACCAAUUGCUGAUCUUGCUAACUGGCUCUCGUCUUUAAUACUUUUUUUAUAUACUUUUUUUGUAACCUCUUAUCAACGCGUGGUGCUUCUGCUGCUGGCCUGAAGUACACACACACACACACACACACACACACACACACACACACACACACACACACACACACACACACACACACACACACACACACACACACACACACACACACACACACACACACACACACACACACACA